GAUGAAGAACGUAGCGAAAUGCGAUAAGUAAUGUGAAUUGCAGAAUUCAGUGAAUCAUCGAAUCUUUGAACGCACAUUGCGCCCGCCAGUAUUCUGGCGGGCAUGCCUGUCCGAGCGUCAUUUCAACCCUCGAACCCCUCCGGGGGGUCGGCGUUGGGGAUCGGCCCUGCCUCUUGGCGGUGGCCGUCUCCGAAAUACAGUGGCGGUCUCGCCGCAGCCUCUCCUGCGCAGUAGUUUGCACACUCGCAUCGGGAGCGCGGAGCGUCCACAGCCGUUAAACACCCAACUUCUGAAAUGUUGACCUCGGAUCAGGUAGGAAUACCCGCUGAACUUAAGCAUAUCAAUAAGCGGAGGA
rnacentral:misc_RNA from 1 species